UAAGCCUUCUCGGAACUAGGUAGUAGGUAUCAAUAUUUUUUCCAAGUUGUAAGAAAAACCACGCUUUAAAAGGUUAUUUUUGAAGAACAAAUAUAUGUAUAAUCUGAUAUUAACCGAAACUAAGGUUAAUAAUUAUACCAUGGAAAAUCAUAGGAAGUCGAGGGAAUUCAUUGUGCAAAUUUGGGGUACCUGUUUAUCCCUCGAUGAUUAGAAGAAAUAAAAGAAAUUACUGAAACGAGUGACACAGAGUUGUGAAGACUGAAGAGUGGGCUGGAGCCAUAUAAAGGGAACAUUGUGGUUAUUCGAUAAGAUUUGUAAAGUUUAUACACAAAAAUUAGUUCAAAAAGUGAGUUGG